rnacentral:rRNA from 1 species
UGGGGAAUAUUGCACAAUGGAGGGAACUCUGAUGCAGCGACGCCGCGUGAGUGAUGAAGGAAUUCGUUUCGUAAAACUCUGUUCUAUGGGAAGAAAAGGACUGUACCAUAGGAGAAAGCUCCGGCUAAAUACGUGCCAGCAGCCGCGGUAAUACGUAUGGAGCGAGCGUUGUCCGGAAUUAUUGGGCGUAAAGGGUGCGCAGGCGGCUUUACAAGUUGGAUGUGAAAUAUUGUGGCUCAACCACAAACGUGCAUCCAAAACUGCAAAGCUUGCGUUACGGAGCUGUACGUGUAAUUCCUGGUGUAGCGGUGGAAUGCGUCGAUAUCAGGAGGACUCCCGGUGCCGAAGUCGACUUACUGGACUUAACCUGACGCUCAGUCACGAAAGCGUGGGGAGCAAACAGG